UACGUAGGGUGCGAGCGUUGUCCGGAAUUACUGGGCGUAAAGAGCUCGUAGGUGGUUUGUCGCGUUGUUCGUGAAAACUCACAGCUCAACUGUGGGCGUGCGGGCGAUACGGGCAGACUGGAGUACUGCAGGGGAGACUGGAAUUCCUGGUGUAGCGGUGGAAUCGCGCAGAUAUCAGGAGGAACACCGGUGGCGAAGGCGGGUCUCUGGGCCGAUACUGACGCUGAGGAGCGAAAGCGUGGGGGAGCGAACAGG
rnacentral:rRNA from 1 species